CUAUUUAUCUGAAGCUAAGGAAGCAUGAAAUAUUUAAUUAUAAAAUGAUCAAACAAGUCUAUUUGUUACAAGCAAAGGAGGAAAAAUAUGUCUCAAAUUCGUGUGUUUGUUUAUGCUUUAAUCAUCUUUCUAUCUCAAUUUCUUGUUGUAACGAGUACAACUACCUUUCCAUGCGUUUCUGAUGAUGAUUGUCCAGUGCCAUUGCCUCCUCCAUUUGCAAAGUGUGUUGAUGGUAUUUGUGAAUUCUUUAUAAAAGCUCAAGUUGAAAAAUAAUUAUGUUUCAAAGAAUAUUAUAAUUUUCUUAUUACGUCGUAAUGUUAGUACUCUUGUUGUAAGACCUGUAAUUUAGAUAUGAUUAAAUCUAGGGAUUUGUAUUUUGUCUUGAUGGUUACUUUGAUAAUAAAUGAUUUUAUGUAAUGUUGUGACCAAUAAAAUCCCCCCAACUCCAUUGAGGAGAAAAUAAUUUCCGUUC